GUUUAUGUCCGUUAUGUGGAGCAAAAGGGUAUAUUGUAUUCGUGCAAAGGUGCGUAAUUGUAAAAGGAAGUGUAGUAUACACCUACGCCUCUACAUACGUUUCCAUCUAGCCGUGUCUGUCUGUCUCUCUGUAUCUCUGUCUGGCUGCCUGUCUAUCUGGCCGUCGAGAUCUUGGCCAGAACAAUGGACAGAGAACUGGGUCCACACUGUUCCACGCCACAGAUUGGCCACGCCCCCGUCGUCUAAUUGAAUGAAGCUAUAUCCUUCUUACGCCCAGCUAGCAGUGACCUGAUUUAAAUUAACUGGUUUCGAAAUGAAGUUUGGGCGAAUGAAAGCCUAAAAAUAAAUACAGACCGCAUUGUU
ensembl:ncRNA lncRNA:CR45527 long non-coding RNA:CR45527